rnacentral:rRNA from 1 species
UGAACUGCGGAAAGGAUCAUUG